AUUGUGCCUGCCUCACCUCCCCACUCUCCCCGGCUAAUUACCAGGUUUGCCCUUCACAGUUUCUGCGGUAAUGCUAAGGCCCGCGCCCCUCAGCUGCCAGCGCUGCGUGUUUUAGUAGCUGCAGGGAGGAAGAAUCGAGAUGGCUUCAGCAAAGCCCUCCACUUUGCUUGGGAGAAGGGGGCGUUUGUGGGCAGGGCAUUGCAUGGGAAACUGCAAUGUGCACUUGUUUGACCUGGAUCCCUGGUUCAAAUGCAUCCCCUGGUCCCUGCAGGUCCGGGGUGGGGCUGGAGCUUUUGUGUGUCUCAUCAGCUCCCAGGUGAGGCGUGAGGGCGCAGGGACGAGCACAGAGGAGGUCGGGAGCCCCGGGCUGGUGGGGGCGGCUUGCCCAGGUCUCGCUGGGCAGCUCGGAGCAGGUCCUGCCACCAAUCUAGGGGUCCAGUCUCAAGAUGUCCCAGGUUGUGAAACAUUUAUCGAGUGCCUAUGGCAUGUCAGGCACAGUUCAAGUUCUGAGGAUACAGAGUAAACAACAGGCAACAUCACGCCUCCUCGAGCUUCUGUUCUACUGGGAGUCAGGGUAGGAAGAGACGACAACAAGGUAAAUAAGUCAAAUCCGGACUGUGUUACUGACAAUGCAAGCUAGGAGAAAAAAGGAAGCAGGAGCAGAGAGGAGCCUGGGUGAUGAUGGAGAUGGGGAGUUUACUUAAAUAGGUGGCCAUGAGGCUAUCCAGCCUGUCCCAGGCGGACUUUUAGAAGACGGAUUGUUUAUAAGAGCCCAAAAGUAUAAGUUCUUAAAAAAAAUUAAUUUCUGAAUGUGUGAUGAGAACACAAAUUCCUCCACGACAGCCCUGUUUUUCCUGUGCUGCGUAGCUGAGCUCUGGGUCACGGCUGCCGAGUGCAGGCAACACUCGGGCAGUCCCAGGGCUGACCGACUGCGCAUCUGGACACUGGCAAUCACAGGGAAGGAGGCGAGAGCUCUGCCGGGUGCUUUGAGGCUGUCGCGUCAUGUCUUCCUCCCCACAGCGUUCUGCGGGGCCUGUCCCCUUGGUGUUGUGGCACCUCCUGGUCCUCGGCUCUGCUCUUGGGGAAGAAAGAGGACACUGUCACAGGUUCCUGUCCCCUCCAGCCAACAGGAGCAGCCACACGUGGCAUCUGCCCUCGAAGCUCUGUGGCAUCCCUGCCGUAGGAGAAGUUACCAAGAAACCCCCAGAGCCCACAGGCUGGAGCCCCCCCAGGUUCUGCUCAGCGGGGAGAGGCAGAUUGAGUCCAAAUUUUCCAUUUUAACUGGAAUCCUAGGGGUUAAACCUGGCUGUGACUUGGCAAUGGCCCCUUGUCCGUGCUGUUCCACAGGGGGUGUCCCCCUUCCCCAGGCCCUGCCCCAAUGUGGCUCCAGGGCCUCUGCUCCCAGCAGGUCUCACCUGGGACAGAGGUGGGGGUGGGGCAAGAGGAACCAAGCCAGGAAGCUGCAGAAAUAGCUCUGGGGGUGGGAGGGCGUGGUGCUGCCGAAGGCCGAACACCCACGCAGGGUGUUGUCUCUCCACCCUCCCAGGCCGAGGGGAUUUCUCAAACGCAGGCCUCCUUCCCAGGAGGUAGGCCUGUGUCCAGUGAGGGCCCUGCCCAUCCAGGCCUCUGUUUCCUGUCACUGUUCUCAAAAGCUGGGCCCAGCUGUGGCGGGGACAGCUAUGUCCGGCUGCCCGUGGUCCCUUGAGAACCGGCCAGGCUGCCCCUGUGCCUGGCACAUGCUCACCUGGACCCUCCAGCCAGCAUCUGGGCUCCAUCUGACCCCACCCCACAGGGCUCAAGCCAGCUCCAAGCAUGAGUGUGGCCGAGGCCAGGUCUGUCUUCAGGGUCCCUUCCUCAUCUCCACGGCCUUUUCCUGUCCCAGCUCACCCACAGGGGGCCAUUUCUGCCCCACACAGGACUCCCUGUGAACCAAGGCUGCACAUGCUUCUGGGUGCCCCUCUCUGGGCAGCUGGAGGGCAGAAGGAGCACCUGGCAGGUGGGUCCCAGGCCCGGCAGCAGGAGCUGCCUGCCAGACAGGACCAGAGGGGAUGGCAGUCCGCUCGGGUGAGGGGUCCACAGGCAGAGGGCGUGGGGGGCUAGGAGGUCUGGGGGCCUCUGGGGAAAGGGGGCCCCAGAAACCAAUGGGAAUUAUGGGAUCUCCUCAAAGAACAUGCUGGAGCAAGGCUCAGCUGCCCACUGCUGCCCCAAAAAGGCUCAGCUGCCCACUGCUGCCCCAACGGGAGUCACUGCUCACACAGAGACCGCUCCUUCCCCAGCCACUCCAGCCAGUGACUGGAUACGGUGCAGGCACUAGUCCCUAGAACCAGGCCAUUCCUGACCCACCAACUGCCCUGUAUGCAGGCCUCUCUCUGGGGCUUCUCAUCAGCCUAGCAGCACGGCUUUCUCAGGGCUUCCCUGGGUACGCACGUCCUCCUACCCAAUCCCCCUUCCCUCUCUCCCUGUCCCAGGUUCAGACCUGCAUCCUGGCUCGAGGCUGUCUCCCCAUCUGCCACAGGUGCUUCCCCCAACGGAUCUCUUGCCCCUCUCCUCCUGGCUUGGGGUCUGCUCACUGGAGGACCUGGAUGGACAUGACAGGGCUCAGACAGGACUUGGGAGGAGCUGUGAGCUCGCCAUCAGGGCCAGCCUUGAAGGACGGGUGUGGGCGUGUCCCCCAUCAGGAUCCCGCUGUGGGUCUCCUUCCUGCUGUGGGGGCUGAUGAAAGAUGCAGGCCAGACACCUGCACAUCUUUACCCUGUGCUCAGCAGCACCCCCUGACAGGGCACCCUCCCCACUACAUCCCCAUUCCAUUCCAAAGGAAGAGACCCUGAGGGUCUGGAAUGAAGAACCCCUUACCCCAGGUCAAACUGAUGUUGCUGGAAUCUUUGGUUGGGUCUCGACAUUACCCCAUAUGGGCAACAGAGAAGGACUGCCGAGAGCUGGGCAAGGCCCCAUGCCUGCUCCUCCUGCUUGUGCUCUCUAGAUCAGAGACCCUCCCAACCUCUCCCGUAGGGGCCUGACUCCUCCCUGGUAUGUCACCUUUGCUUGAUCUAGGCCUCUGGAGGGGCGGCAGCCUGUCUCCCCGCACCAGCUGGGGUUCUGGCCCUGGUGGUUGCUCACCACACCUCCGGGGGCUGCCACGCGGGGUCAUGUUGGUACCAAGGUUCUCUGUGGGGUGCAGGGAUGACCACUGGAGAAAAGGCCAGCCCUGCCUUCCGCUGCUGCCUCAGGCUGGUCCCCGUGCCUCGCUCAGGCGGGCCAGUGACCCUCCUCACCAGCCAUGGCUUCUCUUGUGACAGGCCCAACGGCAGGCCAGGUCCUGAACCCCGCAGGGAGGCCGGCCUAUCAGGUCUUCACAUGGCUGGGGGCACAGCCAGCCACCAGCAUCCUUGUGCUGUCCCCAUGGGGAAGAGAAGGGAACGAUGUGUUCAUAGACGCCAGGGCAAGUGGGCACGGGCAGCGCACGGAGGAAAAAGUGACUCCAAUCAGAAGGGGAGUGGGUCUUGGCAAUACACGUCUGGGUGGUCAGUCCCCAGAGGUGGGCACUGGGCUGAGCUCUCUCUCAUCCGACGCCACCCCUGGGUGACCUCCGUUACAUUUCCUAACCUCUUUGUGUGCCAAUCGCCUCGUCUGGAAAAAUGGGAAUGGAGGAGAGUUGUACCUACCCAGGGUGGUUCUGUGGGCAUUUAAAGAGCAACUUCAUGUGAGACGUGGAGUCCAUGUGUGGCCCAUGGUGGGCUCCAGGAAAUGUUGGUGAUGACAGGGAUGAGGGAGCAACUGAGAGCCGGCAGUGAGGUGACACACCCAAGGUCACGCCACCAGCAGAGGUAGCUGGUCACGCUGCUGAGAGCCGGCAGGAAAUAGAUGCGGACAAAGCAGGGUCGGUUUUCAGCUUCUCUCCACGGAAAGGCCGGCUGAAGUUUCCCUCACCACGCAGAAAUCGAUAAGCAGGAGGUUUUUAAAAACCACCUCCCCAUUGAACCUGCCACUGCCGGAGCUGAAGGCUGUGCGUUUUGUGGUCCGCUCUGCCCCAGGGCCACUUAGGGUGCGUCCACGCUGGGUGUGCCAGGCAUGCACGUGGGCUGCAGACGCCCAGGAGGCAGAGCCGAGCCUGCCAAGGUUAUGCGUGCACCUCUCAGCUCCCUGCUUAACACUGCGUUCCCGGGAGAGAGAUUUCUCCCUGGCUGCUUCACAUCCAGAGGAGAACAUCAGCUCUCAGCAGAACAUAAGUAAGCAUCCGUCGUGGUUGGCAGGAGACUGAUCGUGGUCAUCUAUCCAGGACUGGGUUGACAGGAAGCCACCAUCUUAGACUGUCAGCUUCCAUUUCAGAGGGAAGGAGCCCUGUGGACGUUCUCACACCAGCAUUCAGAAGCUCUUGCUGGGAAGUGUCACAAGUCACCUGUGCUCCCUGGCUAGGAGUAGUCCGUUGGCCACCCAAACACCUGGGGGCUGGCCAGGAAGGCAGUCACACAGGGGCCCACCAUGGGUCUGCCCAGUUCUCAGGCACCAGACCACACCCAAGCAGGACCCCUCCUCCCCUGCUUCCCCCUCCUGUCCCCACCAAAGCCACAUGGCAGGCAGAUCACAUGUCACAGAGCUCAGGGCCAGGCCUGCCCAGAUCCUGAGGCUGGGCCACCCCUGAGAGCUUCCUAUGUGAGAUGUCCACUUUUUUACAUUUAAAUUUUACUUUUAAAAUUCUAAAUUGAUAAAUUACAGUUGUAUGUAUUUAUGGGUACAAAGUGAUGUGAUGACUGAUGAAUACAACGUAGAAAAUUAAAUCAAGUAAUUAACAUAUCCAUCCCCUCACAUACUCAUCACUUGUUGUGGUAAGGACAUUUGAAAUUUACUCUCCUGGUGAUUUUGGAAUGUACAAUACAUUAUUACUUACAUAUUUACCACACUGUGCAAUGUAUCUCAAAGAAAAGAAAACUUAUGGUGCACACCUGUAAUCCCAGCCUUACAGGAGGACAAGCGCAGGAGGAUCCUUUGAGCCCAGGAGAUUGAGACCAGCCCGCGCAACACAGCGAGACCCCAUUUCCUAAAAACAAAAACAAAACAUAUAUUGCUCCUGCCUAACUGAGACCCUGUGCCCUUUGACUGUCAUCUCCUCACUCCCCUCACCAGCUCUCCCACAGCCUCUGGCACCAUUCUGCUCUCUGCCUCUUUAAGUUUGAUUGUUUUCCAUCCCACAUACAAGUGAGAACCUGCGGUAUUUGUCUUUCUGUGCCUGGCUUAUUUCACUCAGCAUAAUGUCCUCCAAUUCCAUCUAUCUUGUCACAAAUGACAGAACUUCUUUCUUUUUUACAGCUGAAUAGUAUACCACUGUGUGUAUACACCAUACUUUAUCCAUUCAACCGUUGUUGGAUGAUUAGGUUGAUUCCGUAACUUUCGAAUAGUGCUGCAGUGAGCAUGGGCAUGCAGACCACAUGUCUGCUUUUGAUCUUUUGAACAAGGACUCAGACCCCAGUGACUCACACAUUUUCUUAUUAAAAAAAAAGUAUACGUAUAAAUUAUAUAUGUGUACAUAUAUGAUAUAUACAUAUGUUAUGUGACCAUAUCUAUACACACAUGUAUAUACACACAUACAGCAAGGGUCUCCAAAGACUUCAAACUAUAUGUAUGUAUAUAUAUAGAUAGAUGUGCACACCACUGCACCCGGCCAACUUUUGUGGUUUUUUUUUAGUACAGAGGGGGUUUCGCCAUGUUGGCCAGGCUGGCCUCGAACUCCUGACCUCAGGUGAUCUGCCCACCUCGGCCUCCCAAAGUGCUGGGAUUACAGGCAUGCACCACCACGCGCAGCCUAACUAUCUAUCUAUAUAUAUAUAUACGUAUAGAUAGAUGGACAGAUGUUCCUUGCAGCUUUCCUUUGGAGAUGGCUUACAGCUCUGGAGAGAACCCGGGGUCCCAGCACCUUUGCCAUUAUAACCCAUGAGACCUAAGGGUCAGCGAAGGGGCAAAGAGGUCCUGGAAACCAUCUUGCAUCAGUAUAGUCCCUCAUCAGAGGAAUAAAGUGGAGCCUCAGGAGGUAAAGGACGGCUGGUGUCACCAGCUAGAUCAGGGAUGUGUUGACUCCCAUUCCAUCGGAGGGAUCUGGGACCCUGCAAGUGACGCUGAGGCGUGGUCCUGCAGCAUUCCCGGGUCCCCCUGGAUUGCUGCACCGUGUCUCAGCCUGAACUGGACCACCUCUGCUCACACUGCAUGCAUGUUACUGCCUGUGACCGGAAGCACUCUAGUCGGGUUGCCCAUCCCCUCACAUACUCAUCAGCUUUAUUUCUUGCCACUUGCAAGAAAGUGAGAGCCCGAAGAGUAAUGCCCAGGCAGUAAGAGAGGCGAAGCAUCUGAUAGAGCCUUCUUCCCACUUUUAUCUAAUCCGAUCCAUUUUCAGUAGCUUUUCUGCAUAAGAGAGCCUCUUCACAUGGACAUCCAUGCAUCCACCCACGCGUCCACCCACGCGUCCACCCACGCGUCCACCCACGCGUCUACCCAUGCGUCCACCCAGUCGUUCAAAACACAUUUUCCUUUCCUUCUAGUUUACUGAGCACCUACUCUAUGUCAGGUGCUAUAUUCACCAGCUUACAGUAGAAUGAUGACCAAGUGAAGAUGUUGGCCCUAAGGAAAAUAAGUGGCUGCUCUUUGAUUCUUCCAGGGAGCAGAUUUUGAUUAGAGAAAGGAGUCCAAAUAGUACAAGGCAGGAAAGACGGGAGGGGCACAGAACAGUGAGGUUGAGGCUGCAGAGAGUGGGGAGGUGGUUGCUAAAAGACUCUUCACUUACAAUUCACGCAGCAAAACUGACCACCUGCCAAACUCCAUCCGGGGAGAGGUCUGGGUGCAGAGACCCCCAAAUAGCCUAGGCAGACAGGUGUGGGGCCACCCUCAGUGCAAGGCGAGGGCUUGUGGGGUCCUUCCAGAGGUUGCUGAAGGUGAUGAGCUGCCAUGAAAGAUGGUAACGUCUUUCCCGUAGGCACAAGAGGAGAAAACAGUGCGUGGUGCAUAGAGACCUUUGCAGUGCAGAAGGGGUUAUUAUUAUUACAAGCCAGAUGUGCCCCACUUGUUACUGAAUCAUCGGGUUGACUCUAAGUUUUAAAAUCCAAUUUCCAGGCCCUCUUCACCUGCCAGCUGGGCAACAGCAGUUACUCUCAUUGGAGACCCUUUCCCUUCGCCACUUCCCAGGCUACUCCAGACUGAAUGCAUUCAGGGAGUCACCUCCCAGGUCAAAACCUGCUGUGAUACCAUCACCCUGCAGCACAGACCACAGUCCCAAGCCUCCCAUUCUUGACUCUAACACCAGCCCAGCCUGACCUGCUGCAGGGUGUGGCCUGUGACCACAUCUGUGCUCCGUCCACGCUGCUUCGUCCAGCCUCCCACGCCGAUCCCCAGAGUAGCUCCCCGGGAUGCUCUCUCCUCAUCACUGCAUCUGCCGCCCGCCCAGGCCCUCUGACUUUACCCUCCCGCAGGCCCCUCCCGUCUGAGGUGCUCUGGAAUGCCUGUGGUGUGAUUGUGCAUGAACUUUUACGUGCCUGCGUCCAUGCUCGAGAGCGGUCUUGCCUGAACCACCUUGUCUCAAUAAUCAGCAUGAAACUCCUCAAAAGAAACAGAGAGGCCCCUCAGAACAUCACGGAAAAGACGAUGGCUCCAAAACAGCUAGAUUCUAAUCCCAGCUCUGCUGCGGGGCGCGGCCUCGGGCACACCUGUGCUCCGUGCAUGUGACGUGACUCUCAAAAGCAUCCAUUUCCUCAUCUGGAAAACGGGACAGUUCCUGGACUCUGCGCACCUGGAAGUGACCAUGAGGGUCAAAUGUUUCUCAAACUGCAAAUGCUUUUCAGAUGCUGGCGCCGUGACCAAAGACCUGGCUCUUACAUCUGCUCUGUUUUCAUGGGACACAGCCCUGGGUAUACAGUAGGUGCUUAAUGCAGGUGACCGUGAGGAAGGGCUGUGGCCCGUGGAGGGCAGGCAGGUGGGAUUCAGCUGAGGUCCUCAAAGGCUGCACUAUGGGAAAGGCUGAGCGGCAGGAAAGGGACAGACAGGCCCUCCUCCUGGGGCCCAGGGCUGGGAACCAGAGCCCCUCCUUUGGCCACUCUGAGGUGGAAGAACAAGGAGCACAUAGGAGGAGUGGCCCAGGCUCUCCACCUGAGGACAUUCGGAGGACCUAGAAGCACUGGCAGAGCCUGAACGUGGCACCGUAGCCUCCUGCUGGCUGGAGAUGUGUCUGGGCGGUGUGUCUUGGCAUGGAAUCCACAGCCAGCUAGCCUGAGGCGGGGAUGGGGCCAGGACCCCCGGCUGUACAGACGGAGAGCCAGAGGCGGUUGCAGGUUCCCAACCGACAGCGGAGCUGAUGAGUGGCGGGGCUUUCAUUUGUUGACAGGAGAUGCAUGUCUGAGGCCAGAGCCAACUUCUUCCAGGGAGCGGCUUCCUUCCUCCUCAAAGGACACAGGGGACACAGAUGUCCAGGAGGCUGUUUAGAGAGGGCCCGAGUGGUGAGCUGUGCAGGGGUCCUCACGCCCCGGCCCCGUCUUGGAUAUGGGGCUGGAGACUUAGGAAGUGAGUGCUGGGUCCUGGGGUUCCCUCAUCCGCCUUCAGGAAGAUGUGAAGGGGCUUCCUGCGGCCUUUGGCAGCAUUCAUCCCAAACCCCAAAGCCUCCUUCCCCUGGCUCCGUGGCAGGAGCAGUUGCAUUCUCCUGUCUGAGAGGGGCCACCUCCUUCCCACCUUGCCCUCUAAGUUGGCUCAGGCUGCGCAGGGCUCAGGCUGAGGUCCAGACCCUCAUGCCAGCUUGGUGCUUGGCCAGAGCUGCAAAAUUGGAGCUGGGCUGCCAGGGGGAGGGCACCGCUGAGGCCUUCUAGGCCCAGACGGGCUGAGAGAGCCCCCGCCCCCCACCCCAGCCUCACCCUCCACCCGAGGCCCCUGUCAUGGGUGUGGGUGACUCAGAGGAAGUUCUGGUUUCUGUCAGAUUUUGAGGCUGAGGCAACCUGAUCCUGAAACAAUGACAAGCCUCAGAACGGUCCUUCCCACUCCCUCAGAGGAGCGUUUCAGGCCUGGCCAAUAACACAGCAGAACGGAAAAUGACUUUGGGAAGGAAAGGUCAGGCGGCUAGGCCUCCCAUGGAAGGCAGCAGGCGGUUGCUCAGGUCAGAGGGCCAAGUGGCGCGGUCUGUGGGCACCGGCAGCUGGCAGUGACCCUGCAGAUCAACCUGGGCCCGGGCUGCAGACACCAAGCAGGGGCACCUGCCUGGCCUGGCUGCCUCAUGUGGCCCCCACAGCCUUUGUCAGGACACCUCAGGACAGUGGCCUGGCCUCUAGGCCAGUGGGCCAGCUCGGGGUGCUAAAGCCUAAUUUGCCUGGAGCCCCGGGCCACUCAUAGAUUCAGGAGGAAGAGGUGGGGUAGAGGUGGCAGAGGGAGAGCAGAGCCUGGCACACAGCAUUUGGCACCAUAACUGAGGCAGCUGCUUUCCUUAAGGAGCUGCCACUGACAGGAUCAGCACUUACAGAGCCCCUGCUGUAUGCCAGGAAGUACAUUUAUUAUUGCUUCUUGUCACAUUGGCCCUGCCAGGUAUGUACCCCAAACAUUAGCCUCAUUUCACAGAUAAGAAAAUUGAGGCUUCCGUGAUUAAGCAGAGGCUGUGAUGUCCCAUCCAGAGCCCCAGCCACCCAGCUCUCCUGCAGGACAGGAGAUACCUACUAGCCUGCUUCUCGAUUAUUCUUUUCUUCCCUGCCACCUUGGGAAUAUCCCUCCCACUUGCAAGCACAGGUCGGCUAUGCCAGGGGAGUCUGUGCCCCAGGGCCCCUUCAUCCAUGGGGAUGGGAGUCUGUAGAAAUGCUCACCUCCGCCCUCUCCAGUGGGGACAUUGGAGGCCUGUGUCCCACAGUCUCCCUGAGGGCCCAGUGGGUUGAGCCCAUUGCCCGCAGUGGAAACCCCUCAUUCAUGGACCUGUCUCCCUCCCCUGCCUCCCCCUCCACCUCCACCCCUGCCCUGCCCUUCCUCGGAUCACUUCAUGCACCCAAGUCCUCAUUGCAGUCUGCUUGAGGGGGAUCCCACAUGUAGCCAUGCCCCUUCCAGGCAGAGAGAAGCAGCACAGGCCCCUGGCUGAGUGUGCCACGGCGGGUGCAGCAGGAGUGCAAACGCAGAGUUCAACUCGGCAUCCAGCUGGAACCCAUGUUAACUUGCGUUUGACCAGCGUAAGAGAGACAAGAAGAUGAGUAGAACUGUAGCAGUCAAAAUGCUUCAGCUGCAGGUAAUAGGAAGUCCAGCUCAAACCGGUUUAAGCGGAGGCCAGGGGCUGCAGGGUGGGCAUCUCCCAUGGCACCUGCUCUGGUCCCUCAGUCCCCCUGAGUGGUGCACACUUCCCUCCACAAGGUGUGUUGCCGGGUGGCCACGGCUGUCCUGGGCUCGCAUUUGCUCAUGACAGUGUCUGGAGAGCUCCGCCUUUGAGGGCUCUUCCUGGGGCCUCUAACGAGAGAGGACUGGGGGGACCACGACAAAAAAUAUCUGGGUUCUUGAGACAGCAGAAAAGGUGGUGGAAGCUGGGUGAGUAGCCAGACAGUAUCUACUAGAAUUUUUUUUUCUCCAAUUUAAGUUUCUCCCUGGUGAGUUCUUAACCCGCCGCUGACUGGCCAAUGCUAGCAGACGGACACAGGGAACAAACAAGUGGCAUAUUAAUCUUCAUGGAAAAGCCUAGAAACGGGCAGUCCUUUCACAGCAGUUCUGUGUCUACAGUGAACACAUGGGCUGUGUUUAACUGUGUAAACACAAUAAAGUUGUGUUAUGGAAGUGAACUUGUUCCUGACUGGCAGAUGGAUUUAAAUGUAAGAGUGGUCCAUGGGCCCCUCCACGGAGCUGAUGCUGCCCCAGCAUCCUUCCUAUGGCCCUUCAGCCUCUGGCUAUUGGUCUUCCUGUAUCCAUGCACGGCUGAGCUGGAGGCCAACACAGGAGCAGCCAUUCCAGGCAGGUCUGGGCAGGGGUCCCUGGCGUGUAGCUCUGGAGGGAGUGGGGCUGUGUAAGCUCAGCGUCUUGUCUCCCUCACUGAAAAUACAGGACACAAUGGAACAGAAUAGAGAGCCCAGAAAUAAGGCUGAACACCUACAACCAUCUGAUCUUCAACAAAGCUGACAAAAACAAGCAAUGGGGAAAGGACUUCCUUUCAAUAAAUGGUGCUGGGAUAGCUGGCUAGCCAUAUGCAGAAAAUUGAAACUGGACCCCUACCUUACACCAUAUACAAAAAUCAACUCUAGAUGAAGUAAAGACUUAAAGGGAAAAUCUAAAACUAUAAACACCCUGGAAGACACCUUAGUAAAUACCAUUCUGGACAUAGAACUUGGAAAUAUUUCAUGAUAAAGAUGCCAAAGCAAUUGCAACAAAAACAAAAAUUGACAAAUGGAAUCUAAUAAAACUAAAGCACUUCUGCACAGCAAAUCAACAGAAUAAACAGACAACCUAAGAGUAGGAGAAGAUAUUUGCAAACUAUGCAUCUGACAAAGAUCUAAUAUCCAGCAUCUAUAAGGAACUUAAACAAAUGUACAAGCAAAAAACAACCCCAUUCAGAAGUGGGCAAAAGACAUAAACAGACACUUCUCAAAAGAAGACAUACAUGCGGCCAAAAAGCAUAUGAAAAAAUGCUGAAUAUCACUAAGCAUUAGAGAAAUGCAAAUCAAAACCACAAUGAGAUACCAUUGCACACCAAUCAAAAUGCCUAUUUUUUUUUUUU
rnacentral:lncRNA from 1 species